GCGGGCAUAGCUCACCAGUAGAGCACAUGCUUAGUUAGCAUGCAAGAAGUUCUGGGUUCAACUCCCAGUACCUCCA
rnacentral:tRNA from 1 species